rnacentral:rRNA from 1 species
UACAGAGGUCCCAAGCGUUGUUCGGAUUCACUGGGCGUAAAGGGUGCGUAGGCGGUCGGGUAAGUCUGGCGUGAAAUCUCCAAGCCUAACUUGGAAACUGCGUUGGAUACUAUCCGGCUCGAGGAAUGGAGGGGAGACUGGAACACUUGGUGUAGCAGUGAAAUGCGUAGAUAUCGGAAGGAACGCCGGUGGCGAAAGCGACGUGCUGGACCUCUUCUGACGCUGAGGCGCGAAAGCUAGGGGAGCAAACGGG